AGUGAACGCUGGCGGUAGGCCUAACACGUGCAAGUCGAACGGCAGCACAGUAGAGCUUGCUCUUACGGGUGGCGAGUGGCGGACGGGUGAGGAAUACAUCGGAAUCUACUUUUUCGUGGGGGAUAACGUAGGGAAACUUACGCUAAUACCGCAUACGACCUACGGGUGAAAGCAGGGGAUCUUCGGACCUUGCGCGAUUGAAUGAGCCGAUGUCGGAUUAGCUAGUUGGCGGGGUAAGGCCCACCAAGGCGACGAUCCGUAGCUGGUCUGAGAGGAUGAUCAGCCACACUGGAACUGAGACACGGUCCAGACUCCUACGGGAGGCAGCAGUGGGGAAUAUUGGACAAUGGGCGCAAGCCUGAUCCAGCCAUACCGCGUGGGUGAAGAAGGCCUUCGGGUUGUAAAGCCCUUUUGUUGGGAAAGAAAAGCAGCAGGUUAAUACCCCGCUGUUCUGACGGUACCCAAAGAAUAAGCACCGGCUAACUUCGUG
rnacentral:rRNA from 1 species